UGGAUAGCUCAACUGGUUAGAGUGCAGUGUUGAUAAUGCCAAGGUUGCAGGUUUGAUCCCUGGAUGGGACAA